GUUUGAAUUAGAAGAUUGGUUGUAAUAACUAAUAACUUGAACAAAAAAUAGUUUGGGCCUUUAUGAAGAACACCUCCCUUGGAAAUGCGAUGAAGAAAAUCAGAAAUUAAUACAUAUUUGGCGCCUAUUGAAUUCAAUUCCCCAAUCAUCUUCACUGAAUUUGGGUUUCAACCAUUUUUCCCGAUCACCUCUCGCCAACACUUCAAUUUCAAUUCUCAUAUAAACCCUAAUCAAUCCGUUGAAACAGAAGCCGUUUCCUACUGAGUCAUUACAAUGUCGAACUCCCUUCAACUUCUUCAUGACCUCUGUAUUCAGUUUUCAGAACCAAUCAUCAAAUCCCUUUCGAAUAUCUGCGAUAAGCCUUCAGAGGGGUCGAAUGUCUCUGUUAAACCCAUUCUUGAAUCCCUUCUACCUCGAAAAACAUCACUUCGAAUCAGUCCUUCUGAGGACGAUAUUUACUCCUCCAUCAAAGACUUCACACUGGCAUGUGCUUUAAUAUUGUCUUCCCGUUCCUCGACCUUUGACCUUCUUUCAUGGAUUACGGAAGACCUCGCACUCACUGCCGAGUCAGCUUUUCGAAUGCUCUCAAAGGCCUAUGCCUCUGCUUCCUGCCACGGGUUUUCAAAGAACAUUGAGGAGCUGGGUUUAGAUUUUAGUUUGAUACCGGAGGAGAAAAGAUUGGUGGUGGAAAUCAUUCCUAAGGUUCUUCCGUUGUUGAAGGAUAGUAUUAAGGAGAGCUCGAUAGAUAAAUCUGACGAGGUCGACGAGGUCUCUGCUGCAUCAGCGAGGGUGCCUGUGGGGUUUGCUAUUGUUGCGGCCCAUCAACUUGGAUGGUUCAUUACUCAGAUUGAUUAUCCACAUUUGGGGAAGUUGUGUAAUUUGGUGAUUCCUUGUGGACUGACUGCUCUUGAUCACUGGUCACCGGAAGUCAAAGGGCAGGGCAUGCUUAGUUUUAUACAUCUUGCAAAAAAUGUCAAUGCUGCAGAGCUUGGUUGGUAUGAAGAUGUGAUUCUUGAUGCAUGCUGCUCAAAUGUCCCAUCAAGUGAUGAAAUAUGGCCUUAUGUGGUUGAAAUGUCGGUUCUUCUUGCAACUAGCGUUCACAAUAUGAAUCCUCGUAGCUCAUGGAUUGAAAGGAUGGUUAAUGAGAUGUUGGGUCACUUGGAGCGGCAGCCAAGAAACAAGGAACGUCGCAUUGCAUGGCUUCGACACAUUGAGCCUCUUUUCCAUUGUAUGGGAUUGGUGCUAUUGGCUCAUACAAGGCGCAUAUUUCCACUUUUCUUCCAGUGGAUGAAUGCUGAAGAUGAUGAGACCACUUUACUAGUAAGUGAUAUAGAUUUGUCAUUUGAAAUAUACAGGAUGAUAUUGUAUGGUGAAUAAUACUUCCUGAUAGCACCUACCAAUGGGCAUUAUAUAUUUGACAACUAGAAGAGAAUAAUGGAAAAUAGGAGGAAUGAGAGAUGGGAGAUUCUCUUCUUUUUUCUCGAAGCAAUAAAUUACUGUUAAAUUGUAAUGGUGUUUAGUAGGUAGAUUAAAUAUUAUUCAUACUAUAUCUAUUCUCUGAAUUCUUAAGAUAUUAACUUAAGACGCUUCUACUUCUGGUUAGUAAGAAAACGUUCUUCUUUGAGAAUAUAUCAGAGGCUUUUAAAAGUUAACUUUCUUGCGUCAAAUUCUAUUGAAAAAUUUCUUGCUUCAGUUUCCUGAUUUGCAGUCUAUCUGUUAAAGCAUCGAAGAAUUUUCUCCCCUUUUUUCUUAAAAGAUAAAAUUCUUACUUUAUCCUGCACUGGAAGAGCAAGGGCAGGGACCUUAAAUUUCCUACCAAUGUUUUCUUCUGCGAAGGAAAGAGCAAUCCAAUUUGUCCUUCUACCUUUUACAGGUUCUACAGAGAAUACAAACAGUUGUGAGGUUAACAUGGAUAAGGAAUACACCAUAUGUUGAAAGAUUGGUGGAUGAACUUGCAAUGUUAUACGAAAAGGCCGCAACAAGAAGUUCUGGUGAUGCAAUCAGAAAGCAUAUUGUUGAU